rnacentral:rRNA from 1 species
CCUACGGGAGGCAGCAGUAGGGAAUUUUCGGCAAUGGGGGAAACCCUGACCGAGCAACGCCGCGUGAGCGAAGAAGGCCUUCGGGUCGUAAAGCUCUGUUGUAAAGGAAGAACGGCGCAUACAGGAAAUGGUAUGCGAGUGACGGUACUUUACCAGAAAGACCACGGCUAACUACGUGAC